rnacentral:rRNA from 1 species
CCCUUAGAUGUCCUGGGCCGCACGCGCGCUACACUGACAUGUUCAACAAGCCUCCUAGUUCGACAGGAUUUGGGAAAUCUUUGAACGCAUGUCGUGAUAGGGAUAGAUCAUUGCAAUUAUUGAUCUUGAACGAGGAAUUCCUAGUAAACGCGAGUCAUCAGCUCGCAUUGAUUACGCCCCUGCCCUUUGUACACACCGCCCGUCGCACCUACCGAUUGAAUGUUUCGGUGAAGAUUCCGGAUAGGACUUUUUUGAUUUAUUUCAAUUCUGUCUUAAAAGCUAUCUAAACCUCAACAUUUAGAGGAAGGUGAAGUCGUAACA